rnacentral:rRNA from 1 species
GAUGAACGCUGGCGGCGUGCUUAACACAUGCAAGUCGAACGAACCUUCGGGUUAGUGGCGGACGGGUGAGUAACGCGUGAGAAUCUGCCCUCAGGAGGGGGAUAACGGCUGGAAACGGCCGCUAAUACCCCAUAUGCCGAGAGGUGAAAUGAAUUUCGCCUGAGGAUGAGCUCGCGUCUGAUUAGCUAGUUGGUGUGGUAAAGGCUCACCAAGGCAUCGAUCAGUAGCUGGUCUGAGAGGAUGAUCAGCCACACUGGGACUGAGACACGGCCCAGACUCCUACGGGAGGCAGCAGUGGGGAAUUUUCCGCAAUGGGCGCAAGCCUGACGGAGCAACGCCGCGUGAGGGAUGAAGGCCUCUGGGCUGUAAACCUCUUUUAUCAAGGAAGAAGAUCUGACGGUAC